rnacentral:sRNA from 1 species
CAGCUACAACCACACAUCUCAGGUUCAAGAAGCUAGCGAUAGCCGCCUCGAGAUGGUGAGUCUAAGUAUAAA